rnacentral:lncRNA from 1 species
UUGAUCUCUAAAUCUCCUUGAAUCCUUCAAAUUCUUUUCAACUUCAAUGGCUUUGUGGCUUGAGUUUUAGCUUUCAAUCUAGUGUUUCGUUAUCUCCUAAAAGUCCUCUGAAAGGUUAUUUUUAUAAGGCUUUGAAGUUAGGCCAAUUUAGGUGAAGAAAGGAGUAAAUUCCAAUUAGGAUUUCCCCAUCAGACUACGUGAACCACAGUCUCGACCAAUUAAUUAGUGGAAAUCAUAAUUGUUCUAGGACAACUAUAGUACUUCACUUUCAAAAAGAUUUUUGACCAUCUUUCUGGCCGAACUGGAUAAAGUGGUAAACAUGAAAGUUGUAUAUUUUUCUCUCACAUUUCUACUGGUUCAAGAAUAAUCUCAUUUGGAGUUUUUUAGAGAGAGUUAUGAUCAAGAUACCACAACCUAUGCAGUGGAAGUUUGCACCUCAAAAUUGCUCUGCUUCUUCCAUUAAAAUUUUUCCUUCAUUAAACAUCUGUAAAAGCACAAAUAAAUCAAUAAUAGCCUAUCUUAAUCACAUUAACACUAAAUUAAGCAUAAAAUUAAUUAAGAUUACAUCGACUCACCUAAAUUAACUAAUUUGAAUUUAUUUAAAUGAAACCUACUAAUUUCUAUGCAUUACUUACAAGAACCAAGCUAAAAUACCAUUAAAACUAAGUCCAAAUAACUUUAUAUAAGAGAGUUAUCAAUAUAUUUGUGAAUCUAUCGAUAGAUGGCCAAAUGAGAAAGAACAGAAACAGGGCUAGGGCACAAUCUAUCGAUAGAUUCGAGGAAUCCAUUGAUAGAUGAAAGUCAAUGGCUACAUAAUUUAGUGCCAUCUCUCAAUGCAUUAGUUUGGAAACGUAAAAAUAAAAAGGGGUUUAUGGGCCAUUUGAGUUAUUUUCACCAAAAACUCUCAUUCUGUCAUGACCCGGCACUCUGCUUGAGCCCGUGACAACCGCUGCUAUGUCCCGAUAGACAUUCAUUACCCGAAAUGCCAUCCGAAACCUGGCAAGGCUUUAAUAUCAGUUUUCUCACCUCCAUUGUGAGCAAUAGUUGCUAAUAUCAUAUUUUAAAAGAUCAUAAGCUAUUUCCAAACCAAAACAAUAAAAAAAUAAUUUUCAUCUCUCGGGGGUAUUUUGGUCAUUUUUCCCCAAAAAUUUUGAAACCAACUAAUAAUGUAGUAUGCGAGUGCAAAACACAUAUUUCAUAAUAAAAAAUAAGUUUAGAUGUCUAAAACAUUCAUUUAAAGUGAAAUUACGACUAUUUGAAUAUAAUAAAAAUAUUCAAUAAAAUAUUCUAUUUUCUUAUAAAAUAAUUUUUAUAGAGUUAUCUGUAAGGAAUUUUUGUAGCGUAAAAGUAAAAUAAAUUCAUACAUACUGUAAUACAGAUAGUCAAGGCAUGUAAUUUAAUUUACAAUGACACGUGGGCCCCCAAAUGACAAAAGUGAACGAAGGUUGUGAACCUACGAUUUUUGAGGAAGUAAAGCCAACUGUAGCCUUCAACGAUAUCAAUUAUCUACAAACUAUCCUGAGCCUGAAAUGGGUGGAAAGGAGGGUGGUGAGAUUAUAUAAUCCCAGUGAGUAAACAAAUAUCAUCUAAAAUAUCUAAAGUUGAGUAAAUGGAGAUGAUUAAAAUAGAUCAUCAUAAAAUGGUUCAUAACAUCAAAACACAUUUCAAAUCAUCUCAGCUAGUUACAUUUCAUCCAAAAUAUACAACGAGGCUUAUGAAUCUCUUAAAAACUUGGCUCGUACCAAAACUCAUUCUCGGGGAUACCUUGGUUGAGGCAUCUAAUCGAGUCCACCAAGGUUGUUAAAAAGUCAUAUACGCACAAAACACAUUUUUACAUUUAAAAUCACGGCCGUUCCUUGUCGUUGGCUGAAUUCACUUUCACGUGGUGGUUCGGCGUGAAGUGAACUCUAAACUUUACCCCAGGAGAUACCCUACACGCCUCUUUGAUCGAGGUAAGAAUAUAACUAGAUUCCAUGCCCCUCUAAUAGGCUGGCCCACAGAACCCGUCACUGUAGUGACCAAUCUAUAACCCACCAAUUCAAUAAAAAUUCAACAGCAUGACAUGAUAAUUUUAUCAUUAUCCAGCCUAUCAAGGCAAACAAUAGUUUAUACAUUUUCAACACAAAUACCUAUCCAGCCAUUCAUGCCCACAUUAUCAUAAGCCAUUCAAUUCAAAACAUAAUUUACAAUACAGCAAGUAAUCUCCAAUUACUCCAUUUUCAAGUCAUCAUUAAGUUUCAAAACAAUUUAUAAAAUCAUUUCAUUUAAACACAUUUUCCAUAAAAUUACAAAAUCAGAUAAAAACAUACUUUAGAUAAUUAAGACGAUAAUAAGGUUACUCACAAUAUCGAGAGUCAAAGUACUCCUAGUUUUGGUCUUCGGGUACAACUUCUUUGCCCUUAUCGAAGGAUUCACCACCUACACAUAAUGCAUAAUCAAGCAAUUUACUACAUUGGUGCUAAACCGUUAUAAAACUAAUCUAGGCUCUAUAUAAAUGCAUGAAAUGGAAUGUGAAUUGUUCGGAUCAUCGUCUAAACACGGUGUUUUACAUAAAUUCAAUUGUGUACCUAAAUAAAACGGUAUUAGCCUAAUUCGAUCUAUCACCUGAUUAAUUGGUCAAUAUGUCCAAUUUAACUUCAAAUAACUCCAUUUCUCUCCUAAUACUCCAAAUCAUCAAACUCAAGUCAAGUAACAUAAAAUUUAGCAAGAUCAUUUUCACAUUUCUUCUUGGGAAUUUCGGCCAUGGUGGGUGCAUGAACACUAUGGUUUUUCCCACUUGAUUUUUACACCAUAAUUCAUUAAUUCCUAAUCAAAUCACUUGAAAUAAAAUCAAGUCCACCAUCAAUAAAUCAUAGGGAAGAUUCGGCCAAUGGAGGGUGAUGGAAGAAAAAUGUAUUUUUCUUGUUUUCUUUUCAUGCUACACAUCACUAACUAACUAAAAACACUAAAAUAUAUUAAAAUCUAACGAAAUCCAAGUUCAAAACUCCUCCCCCCAUGUCCGGCCAGCAAAGGUAUCCUCAUGCAAACUUGAUUCUCAACCAUGGAAAAUGAAAAAGAAUGCAUAGGAAAGGUAGAUCACAAGCUAGAAUUGAAAAAUCUUACCUUUUGUCACUUGAUUCUUUAAAAUUUUGUGAAUUUCUCUUGAAUUUCUUAGCUAGGUUUUUGUUAUUCUUCUUUUCUUCCCUUUUCUUCCUUUGGC